rnacentral:rRNA from 1 species
CAGCAGCCGCGGUAAUACGUAGGGUGCAAGCGUUAAUCGGAAUUACUGGGCGUUAAGCGUGCGCAGGCGGUUUGUUAAGACAGAUGUGAAAUCCCCGGGCUCAACCUGGGAACUGCAUUUGUGACUGGCAAGCUAGAGUGUGGCAGAGGGGGGUGGAAUUCCGCGUGUAGCAGUGAAAUGCGUAGAUAUGCGGAGGAACACCGAUGGCGAAGGCAGCCCCCUGGGCCAACACUGACGCUCAUGCACGAAAGCGUGGGGAGCAAACAGGAUUAGAUACCCGUGUAGUCCCUGUCUCUUAUAC